rnacentral:lncRNA from 1 species
UUACUUUUCCUGGUGCAUACCAAAGAAUAUUAUAAGAGAUUCAACAAGCUCAUACGAGCCCAUUGCUAAAAAUAUACAACCCAAAGUCAGGUUUUAUUAUCACUCUUUAAAGCUUAAAAGCAUCUGCGUAUUCUAUGAGAAGCUAUGACCAUGACAAGGCAGUUGGUUAUGGGUUGACUGCAGAAAGCAAGAUGUUGUCAGGUAUUAGCGAAAACUUCAUUUGCCUGCAGCAUACGUCAAAACUUCUCCUCAAUCCGCACAUCGAUACCUUCAAGGAUUCCUGGCGUUGGCAUGAACCUUUACAAUCAGGGCACGUAUCUCAAAAACAUUCAACAGGUGGGUUCUCCCUAAACAUGGAGGAAUAAGUAAAGCACGGUGGAGAGUUGGGUUCUCUCAAAAGAUUGAGGAACAAGUAAAGCCCAUACCCGAUGAGACCUCACGAUUUCAUAACUUGCACUGGAAAAUUUCCAUCCGGGAGAGCUUGGCUUCUAUCGAACCAUGGGGUUCAUCGGUUGGAAGAAAGACAUCGUUCUCGAACUGCAUAAGAACAACAUUCACCGGUUAUGCUUAGUCAUUGAAUAGCACAGAUCUGCAUGAUGAUGUCUCAACCUUGUGAGCCUUUUUAAGUUCAAGCACGAGGAGAAAGUUAGUGGACCACCGGUGUUUUCCAGAAAGGGCUUGUGCUAGGGACGAAAUGACUACACAAAGAUCCAUUCCCUUGAAAAAGAAAAAGAAAAAAGGAACACAGGUUCAUGAAUAUCAACGACCGCAUGCUGGCACUGACAUUGACCAUGAUUCUUUACCAUCAGGGGAAACAGAGCCAUGCCAAUCUUUGCAAUCUGGAAUACUUGAGCUCCGUAUAGGUGUCAAGAACUAAAAUGAGAACCCAAUUGGAAAAUUCUACAGAAUUUGAGAUUACCUUGACGCCCACCGUAGGUAAGUUAACAGGUAGGAAAUGGAUGUUUGGCAUGUUCAAGUGUAU